CCUCAGUAUUACGCACCGAACUACACGAAGCAUACGACAUACACUCGUCCAAGUGUCCACACAUCAACUCCUCCAAUCCCCUCUCAAACUCGGAACGCACAUCGUCCCCUGUGCUUUCCGACUUCUGCUGCAUUUGCUGCUGAAUAUCUUCCAUCUUCAGAACCCACUUUAUCCCAACUCUAACACCCUAAAAACACAUUUCACCACACAAAAUGUUCCAAUAUGGCAAAAAGACAACCUAAAUGCAUAA
rnacentral:lncRNA from 1 species